AACGAACGCUGGCGGCGUGCCUAACACAUGCAAGUCGAACGAGAAAGGGGCUUCGGCUCCGAGUAAAGUGGCGCACGGGUGAGUAACACGUGGGUAACCUGCCUCUAAGAUUUGGAUAACUCGUCGACAGAUGAGCUAAUACCGAAUAAGACCACAGUUCCCCGGGAACAGGGGUCAAAGGUAUCCUCUGCUUGCAAGCUAUCACUUAGAGAUGGGCCUGCGCACCAUUAGCUAGUUGGUAGGGUAACGGCCUACCAAGGCAAAGAUGGUUAGCUGGUCUGAGAGGAUGAUCAGCCAAACUGGAACUGAGACACGGUCCAGACUCCUACGGGAGGCAGCAGUGGGGAAUAUUGCGACAUGGGGGAAAGCUUGACGCAGCAACGCCGCGUGAGUGAUGAAGGCCUUCGGGUCGGAAAGCUCUGUCGGGAGGAACGAAUGCUCCUGAGGUUAACAGCCUCGGGAGGUGGCGGUACCUUCAAAGGAAGCACCGGCUAACUCUGUG
rnacentral:rRNA from 1 species